rnacentral:rRNA from 1 species
CCUUCAUGAAGCCGGAAUUGCUAGUAAUGGCAGGUCAGCAUACUGCCGUGAAUACGUUCCCGGGCCUUGUACACACCGCCCGUCACACCAUGAGAGUUGGGAAUACCCGAAGCCUGUGAGCUAACUUUUAGAGGCAGCAGUCGAAGGUAGAAUCAAUGAUUGGGGUGAAGUCGUAACAAGGUAAC